rnacentral:rRNA from 1 species
GCCAGCAGCCGCGGUAAGACGUAGGACGCGAGCGUAUUCUGGAAUUACUGGGCGUAAAGGGCCAGCAGGCGGCUUGGUAAGUUGUGCGUGAAAGCCUCGUGCUCAACGCGAGGAAGCCGGACAAUACUGUCAAGCUAGAGGGCAUCAGAGGGGAGUGGAAUUCCCGGAGUAGCGGUAAAAUGCGCAGAUAUCGGGAGGAACACCGAUGGCGAAGGCAGCUCCCUGGGAUGCACCUGACGCUAAGAGGCGAAAGCUAGGGGAGCGAACAGGAUUAGAGACCCUGGUAGUCCUAGCUGUAAACGCUGGGUGCUAGGUGUGGGACGUAGAAGUUCCGUGCCGGAGCAAACGCGAUAAGCACCCCGCCUGGGAAUUACGGUCGCAAGGCUAAAACUCAAACGAAUUGACGGGGCCCCGCACAAGCAGCGGAGCGUGUGGUUCAAUUCGAUGCUACACGAAGAACCUUACCUGGGUUUGACAUGUACGUGGUACGAAGGCGAAAGCCUAAGGACCCUUCGGGGAGCGUACACAGGUGCUGCAUGGCUGUCGUCAGCUCGUGCCGUGAGGUGUCGGGUUAAGUCCCGUAACGAGCGCAACCCUUGCCCUUAGUUACAAGUGUCUAAGGGGACUGCCGGCGGGAAGCCGGAGGAAGGUGGGGAUGACGUCAAGUCAGCAUGGCCCUUAUGUCCAGGGCUACACACACGCUACAAUGGUCAGUACAAAGGGUAGCGAAGUCGCGAGGCGGAGCGAAUCUCAACAAAGCUGAUCGUAGUUCGGAUUGCAGGCUGCAACCCGCCUGCAUGAAGC